ACUCGGAAAUGGCAUUGGAAACUACCCUGCUCGAGGGUUGGAGGGGGGACUGGAAUACUUGGUGUAGCAGUGAAAUGCGUAGAUAUCAAGUGGAACACCAGUGGCGAAGGCGAGUCCCUGGACAACUCCUGACACUGAGGCACGAAAGCUAGGGGAGCAAACAGGAUUAGAUACCCUGGUAGUCCUAGCUGUAAACGGUGCACGUUUGCUGUAAAAGGAAUCGACCCCUUUUGUGGCGUAGCCAACGCGUUAAACGUGCCGCCUGGGAAGUACGGUCGCAAGAUUAAAACUCAAAGAAAUUGACGGGGGCCUGCACAAGCGGUGGAGUAUGUGGCUCAAUUCGAUGCAACGCGAAGAACCUUACCUGGCCUUGACAUGCAAGUAGUAGAAGGGUGAAAGCCUGACGAGGUAG
rnacentral:rRNA from 1 species